rnacentral:rRNA from 1 species
GACGAACGCUGGCGGCGUGCUUAACACAUGCAAGUCGAACGAUGAAGCCUUUCGGGGUGGAUUAGUGGCGAACGGGUGAGUAACACGUGGGUAAUCUGCCCUGCACUCUGGGAUAAGCCCGGGAAACUGGGUCUAAUACCGGAUAUGACUUUCUUACGCAUGUAGGAAGGUGGAAAGUUCCGGCGGUGCAGGAUGAACCGCGGCCUAUCAGCUUGUUGGUGGGGUAAUGGCCUACCAAGGCGACGACGGGUAGCCGGCCUGAGAGGGCGACCGGUCACACUGGGACUGAGACACGGCCCAGACUCCUACGGGAGGCAGCAGUGGGGAAUAUUGCACAAUGGGGCGAAAGCCUGAUGCAGCGACGCCGCGUGAGGGAUGAC